GAAUGCAUGAAGACCACAGAUGUACCUCUGGAUUUUUAUUGUCUUGACACAAUUGGUAUUUUGAGAUUAUAUUUUUUAAUUUUCAUUUUGUGUUUUAAAUGAGUAACCUGGGCAGAGAGCAGUAACCUAAUGAUAAUAUAAUUUUUUUUAUUUUUAAAUGCUAUGCAUACUGAAAUGGCAUGGACGUCACACUGAAAUACUGCCUUUUGUGACUAACGUUUGCAUUGGUAGAAAAAUAUUGCAAAAAAAUUAAAAAGACUCAAAACCUGGCAGUCCUGUUCUUCAGUCACUUGGAACAGCCAUCAUGCAGGAAAAUGUGACUGUGAAAACCAACGCCAGUGAUUUCACCACUGCGAAGCCUGUCAACAUAGCUGCUAUUGUGGCACCGAGUGUAAUUGGAAGUAUACUGGUAAUCUUGGGUAUUGCCCUCUUCAUCUUCUUCUGCAUCAUAAGAAAGAAAAGGCAGACAGAAGGAACAUAUCGACCGAGCUCUGAAGAACAGACUGGAGCACGUGUGCAUACAAGCGACGCUCUCAAACUGCCAAAGGAGGAACGCCUUAUAUGACUUUUCAUGGGAAUUCAUUGAACUUCUGACCAAGAAUCAAAUGUAGAAUUGUGUUUAGAUCAGCCUUCAAGAUCAUGCUGCUAUUCAGAUGUUUGAAGAACCAUAAGUUGUGGCUGGGUUUUUUGAAUGUCAGCGAUCUUCUAGAUGAGGAAUUGUCUGCUAAGUGUCAACCUGAUUGCAUUGGAAAUAUCUUUACCAGCUUGUAAUUAAAGUCAGUGAGUGUUCUGCUGAGAAGAUACAACAUGUCUGAGUAAUGAGAUCUUAAUACCACCUCCCAUCUUUUUUCCAGUGUGCAGUAAUAGGGCUCUAUAUUGGAAUCUGGUGGUGGUUUAGGAAUUUGUAGUUUCCAGUCAUCCCAAAGCUGUAUUUUUCACAGUUUUGUAUGGAAUCUUACUAACAUUUUGAGAUUGAUAAAAACUUUGAAAUGGUUGGGAAAACACUUAACAUUUUUAAAUAAUUAAGGUAUUAUGUUUUCUGCCAUGACAAGUAUGUGUAUUAUUUUGUCAAAAAUCUUAAUUUUAUGGUAUAAAUGCUUAAUUGUGUUUAUUGAAGUGCUUUAAUUUGUAAAUUUUAGACAUUAUAAUAGGAUUUGUCUUCCACCCCAAGCUUGUUUACUUUGAUACCAUUAUAAAUUAACAGAAGCCAAUACUUAGUUUUUAAGUUUUUGGAAAGGCUGAACUAUACAGAUGAACAACUACUGAAAUUUAACUUAGCACUUUACUGUAGUUAUUUUUAGUUAUAUCAUUAUACCAAUGGUAUUCAGAGUUUUGUAUCUUAUCAGUGAUUUUUUUAGAAUUAUGUGGUAUUGUUUUGAGCAAUAAAACAUUCUGAAAGCAAAAUGCUGUUGUUAAAAGUUUAUGCUUUAAAGGUUUGACAAAGAAUGACUUUGUAAUUAUUUUAAGUGAUCCUAUUCCACAUGAACAGAAUGAAUUUUAGCUGCUAUGAUUUUCUAUAACAAUUUUCCGUCUGUAUAUUAUACCCCAGGAAUGCUUUGUAAUGAUUAUUCCAGAUAGUACUUUUACACUGCAGAACAAUUUUCUAGGAAUACUUCUCUCUUGAGCAAAAUGACUUCCUUGCAUUCGUGGUAUAUUUACUUUUUGAAUGUCCUGUUGGUUAAAUCUUGCAGUGAAAAACAAGUGAUUGGUGGUGAUGGCAUAAAAUACAUUAAAUGAGGCGAAUUAAAUUAUUUUUAAUGAGAGCUGUGAAAUGAUGUCAUUUGUUUUGUGUCAGGACACUGGCAAUGGCAAAAUAAAUGGUUUGAAGAGUGAGACAUUGUUGUUUCUACUUCAACUGUGGGGUUGUUGAGCCUGCUAAGAUUCUUCCUGUCCUCUGUGUAGUCAGGCAAAAAGAAUCUUUUACAUGGAAGUGUUUAUAUAAGUGACUACAUUUUUAAAACUGGGUGUACCAGUGUCUUAUUUGUUAUUCAUAUUCUUUAUUUUUGGUGGAUGCUGCACAUUGGUGGAGGUGGAGGGGAGUCCCCAUUACUUUCAGUGGAGUGUCCAGAAAAGCACUAUAGAAGUGUAAGGAAUUAUUAUUCAAUAUUAUGUAUUUAAGGGACUUCAAAGCAAGUCUGCAACUAUAGCUUUGACAUCUAUAGAGUUUGCCCUGGUUUUUUCACUUGUAUUUCAUUGUGCAGAUUAAUAUUAUUUAGUAAGACUCCAUGUUACCAUUUUGCUGUGCAGGUUCUAGAUGGAAGUAACAGUGAAGAAGCAAUGAAAAGUGGUGGAAGCCAGUGGUUUUAUCUUAUUUUCUGAUGGAGUGAAAUGGUUUGUAACCAUGAUAUAAAAUGAAUUGAGCAUUUUAUACCAAUGGCAAAAUAACACCUAUUUAAGACCUUGUAUUAGGAUGACACGGUGGCUCAGAGAUUAGCAUUGCUGCCACACAACAAUGCAAGAGGACCUGGGUUAAAUUUCACACCUGCAGUACUGCCAAGUGGGUUUCUUCUGGGUGCUCUGGUUUACUCCCAUAGUCCAAAAACAUACUGGUAGGUAAUGGGGUUCUGGGAAAAUUAAAUCUGGUGUCAGUUUGUGCAUUUCAGUGUUUGUGUCUGUCAGAUCCAAGAUAGACUGGUGCACCGUCCAAGAUGUACCCUACCUUGUGCCCGUUGCUUUCAGGAAUAGACUGGGUUGGUAGAAUUUUGGUAGAAAAUUGUAUAUGUAACAUGUUACAUACAGUGUAUAUAACAGAUGUACCCUAUUUGUUGUCCAAAUAGGCUAUGUGAAUCUUUUGUUAUAGUUUUGAGAGGUUUUAAUGGCUGAGGAACAAUUUAAUUUAGCGAAGGACUACACUGGUAAUACAGUUAAUACACAGUAGUUGAAACAAUUUUUAAAGCAAGUGUUUUCUAGACCUUUCCCACGUUUUGUCAGUCAUCUGUCUAAUAAUUGCCCAGUUGAGAUCUACAGUAUGAAUGGACACAAAUUAAUCCCAAUAAAGUUAUCGUUAGUGAACUGUUGCUGCCACACUUAAUUUAACUUUACACUAGCAUCUUUUUCACCCCUGAAAGGAAAAUAGUAUAAAAAGCUAAGUCACAAAUCUUAUUGGGUACUAAUUAAAGAGUUAAACAUAUUUUGUAUAUUCUUUUUUGGAAAAAAAGGGAGGUAACAUGAAUAAAGGAGCACACAGUGUUUUAAGAUCUAGAUAAACUGUUCACACAAUUGUUUAAACAUUAAAAUAUUUUUGGAAUGCCGAUGUGUCAAAUUCAGCUAGCAGUUUAUAGGUUACUAUCAGGAGUUCUUUGAUUUGAAGUAUUAAAGAUUUUAUGUCACACUUUAAGGUCAGAGUAAUUUAAGCUAAGGUACUGUACAACCUACUGUAUGUUUAUUAAGAGCCCAGAUCAUGAGCCAUACAAUGUUUUAUUAGUGCAUUUAAUGUUUUGUCUUCUAGAACAAUGUUCAUGAAAUGUUGUCCACUGGGGGCCUCUUGCACAUACACGUCUCUUGUUACUAUAAUUUAUUUCUAAUUCUGUCAUUUGAAUCUAAUUUUGGUUUCAAUAACAAAAUUUGGGGAACUGCAGGAAUACUAGAUUAAUGAUAUAUGUGUAACACAGUUAUUGAUAUCUGUUCUGUAAAAGUAUUAAGAUUUCUCAUAAAACUGCAUUUAUGUUUAUCAGUACACACAGGGUCUUAAUAUUACUGUCACUUCAGGACACAAAUGUGCACCCUGUACAAAUUUUAAAAAAGUGAUGGUACUCAUUGCUCCAGUGUGCAUAUCAGUGUACUUUUCAAGGAUGAUCCCACCUUGCAUAUCUGACAGGAGGUAUCUUUUGUCAACUUUACAUGGAGAUUAUACAGUAUAUACUUGUUUAAACCUGCCCUCUAAGAAAAUCAAGUAUUGAGAAAAGUGUUUUCCCGGAGUUUUGGUUGAUAACCUUCAGUAUGAAGGACAAUACCAUAUAAUCUAGCAGAUGAACUGAUAGUAGGGAAGGUAAAAGCUACAUCAGGCUGCUACUAGUACUGCUACUGUUAAACCACAUUUUGAGUUUAGCUAUAAUUGCUGUGGUCUAUGAAUUUCAUGAAGUGGUGGUAGAAUCUCUACAGAUGCUUAUCAUAAUUUGAAUUCCUUUCCACAAAGACUACUUUGUUCGGGUUUCGACUAGAUACUUGGCUCGAAUUCUAGAAUACCUAUUUGAUGACUGCAUAUGUUAAGGAUUUCUUGGAAAUGAGAGUUUUUGCAGAAAAUGUUUCCACUUGACCAAUAAAACAAAUAGCAGUAAGUACUAUAUGAAAUGAGUACAUUACAUCACAGUUUUUAUGAACUGUAUUAAAUGAUGUAACAUUCUAAAUAAAAGGCUCAGUUGUAACUUGACUGGUUCAUUGGUGAGCAUUAGUGAUAGUCUUCCUAGUAACAAUGUUUGCUAAGUCUCUUUCACAUCGGCCUUUUUGCAAAUUAAUAACAUUGUUAAAACAAUGCAAAGAAUUAUUUUAACGUUAAAAUCUGUAUCACACUAUUGUAUUGUGUUCCCCAGUAGUCAGGAUAUCAUUUUCUUGUUUUUUAACAUGCAAUUUAAAAUAGAUUAAAGUUUCAUUGCUUUUUUUUAUUGAUCACAUCAUGUUACUUUCAAUAAUAGGGAACCUGUGAUGGGGUGCAGUGAGCAGAAGGCAGGAUACACCCUGGAGGAGACACCCAUCCAUCACAAGGCACACAUAGACACCAACAGACACCAGGUCCAAUUUUACAGAAGCCACUUAACCAAGUCUUUGGAUUGUGGGAGGAAACUGGAGCACCCAGAGUAGAUUUCCAUGCGCAAGGGGAGAACCCAAGGAAUUGAACCCAGGGCAACCGUGCAGCAAUGCCAACCCCUAUUCGACCAUGCCACAUUUUCAUUGAUGAAAGAUAUAUUUAUAACUAGGUCCCAUUAUUUCUACUUUUGAACAUCCCCUUUUUAGGUAGGUUGAUGCUCAGCUGCAAUUUUGUUCUUGGUAUUCUUCACCCAUAUUUUUGACAUUUUUGAUGCAUCC
rnacentral:lncRNA from 1 species